rnacentral:rRNA from 1 species
UACGUAGGGGGCAAGCGUUGUCCGGAAUCACUGGGCGUAAAGCGCGCGCAGGCGGUCUUUCACGUCCGGGGUGAAAGCCCAGAGCUCAACUCUGGGAUUGCCUUGGAUACGGGGAGACUUGAGGGUCGGAGAGGCAAGGGGAAUUCCACGUGUAGCGGUGAAAUGCGUAGAGAUGUGGAGGAACACCUGUGGCGAAGGCGCCUUGGCUGGCCGACG